AGAACCUUAAGUUAAGUUAAACUAAUAGCCUUCAAAGCUGUAAAUUUGAAGUUCUGAAUAGGUUCAG
rnacentral:tRNA from 1 species